rnacentral:rRNA from 1 species
GACGAACGCUGGCGGCGUGCUUAACACAUGCAAGUCGAACGGAAAGGCCUCUUUCGGGGGGUACUCGAGUGGCGAACGGGUGAGUAACACGUGAGUGACCUGCCCUUGACUUUGGGAUAACUUCAGAAAACAGGGGCUAAUACCGGAUAGGAGCUCCUGCUGCGUGGUGGGGGUUGGAGAGUUUCGGCGGUUGGGGAUGGACUCGCGGCGUAUCAGCUUGUUGGUGGGGGGGUGGCUUACCAAGGCUUUGACGGGUAGCCGGCCUGGGAGGGUGACCGGCCACAUUGGGGCUGGGAUUCGGCCCCGACUCCUACGGGGGGCAGCAGUGGGGAAUAUUGCACCAUGGGUGGGAGCCUGAUGCAGCAACGCCGUCGGCGGGAUGACGGCCUUCGGGUUGUAAACCGCUUUCGCUCAUGACGAAGCUUUGUGUGACGGUAGUGGGUAAAGAAGCACCGGCUAACUACGUG